GGUUAUGACAGUUAUCACAUUAGUUAUGGAUGAUUAUGAUCAUUCGGAGAAUCACAUACCGAGAGAGCCUCAUGUGAAUCGAGAUUAUGAGAGAGAGUUAUAUAUGAAUCGUGUGUUAUAUAGUGGUGAUACUCAUUGUGUAGAUCAAAUACGGAUGACGCCGAAUGCUUUUUUAGACCUUUGUAAGAUACUUGGUGCGAGUAACUUGUUGCGUUCUACUGUAAAUGUUUCUAUUAUGGAGCAAGUUAUGGUAUUUUGUCAUAUCAUUGGACAUAAUGUGAGGUUUAGAGUCAUUGGGGGAAGAUUUCAUAGAUCAAUAGACACUGUUCAUAGAUAUUUCAAAAUCGUCUUGCAAGCGAUUUUGAAAUUAUACAAGCAUGUGGUGAAAGAACCAGGCAAUUCCACUCCUCCUGAGACAAGUAACAGUUGAAGGUUUUAUCCAUAUUUUAAGGUAUGGAAUUUGAAAAAACAAGUCUAUAAAUUGCUUGAGAAGUUUCAUUAGUAUUUGGUUGGUAACUAUAUUGAUUAUUUUAGGAUUGUGUUGGAGCAAUAGAUGGAACUCAUGUACGUGCAUCAGUUCCUCUUGAAAUUCAAGGAAGAUUUUGUGGUCAGAAGGAUGGAACAACACAAAAUAUAUUAGCUGCCGUUACAUUUGACUUGAGAUUUUCUUAUAUAUUAGCUGGUUGGGAAGGCACAUCUCAUGAUUCACGUAUUUUGUCUGAUGCACUUUCAAGGCCGAAUGGAUUGAACAUUCCUAGAGGUCCAUCCUUCUCAUGGAAAGUAUUUGAAUAAAAUGAUUGACAUGUAUGAUGAGAUGGCUGUGGUGGUUGGGAGAGAUAUAGCCACCAGAAGCUUUGCUAAGCAGCUCGGGGACAUCGAUGCAACGGAAGUUGACUCCUCACCUGUCGACUUAGGUGAUGACUUCGAUGACUUCGAUGAGUUGAUGAAGGGCUCGAAAACAUGUUCCUCUACUGUGCAUUUAGAAAAGAGGUCUCACAAAAGGCGAAAAGGUUCCAACAAUGAUGACAAGUAUGUUGCACUUUCAACACAACUUGGAGAGAUGGCCUUGGCAAUUAAGUCAUUGGCUCAUAUGGAUGUGGAUCACUCUCAAGUCUAUUACUCUCAACUCUACAAUGAGGUGAUGAAAGUGGAUGGAUACGAUGAAAUUACCCUUGGAUCAGUUUUUGACCAUCUAAUUGAAAAUGAAAAAAAUGGAAAAGCAUUCAUGGUGAAGAGUGCGACUCUUCGCAAAGUAUGGGUUGAUAAAUUUCUAAGCAAAGGAGAUCAUCAUUAGUGAUAUACUUGUCUCUGGGUGUAUGGUUGGUGAUCGUGAUUGUGAUGGUGAUGGAGAACUCUUCCUUGAUGCUCUGUUGACUACAUCAACAAGCAUUUUUUGCUAGACAACCUACUGCAAAGUAGAUGAAGAGAUAGUGUGUACACAUAUUAUGGCUGCCAAAAUUCCACUGAUGUGUAAUUUUAUGCAAGGUGCUCAGUAGAAGUCUCAAGGUAACAGAGCUAACACAAGAUUUUUGAUAGCUUGAUCUGAUGAGUUUGCUGGUCAAAAGAGUAUGAACUGAAUGAGUUGCUCAAAGCAGGGCUGCUUUUGCCUUUAUGAAAUCCAUAGGUCAACCGGGUAGUUAUUAUUGUCUUUUGGAUUCAAACAUGUAACACCUGUAGUCAAAGAGCAAUGUUUUGUAAUUGACCCUCUGCUUGCCUAAUUUAUCUAUGAUGCUCUUCUGGAUUCAUA